rnacentral:rRNA from 1 species
AACGAACGCUGGCGGCAGGCCUAACACAUGCAAGUCGAGCGAGGACUUCGGUUCUAGCGGCGGACGGGUGAGUAACGCGUGGGAAUGUGCCCUUCUCUACGGAAUAGCCCUGGGAAACUGGGAGUAAUACCGUAUACGCCCUAUUGGGGAAAGAUUUAUCGGAGAAGGAUCAGCCCGCGUUGGAUUAGGUAGUUGGUGGGGUAAUGGCCUACCAAGCCGACGAUCCAUAGCUGGUUGGAUAGCAUGAUCAACCACACUGGGACUGAGACACGGCCCAGUCUGCUACGGGGGGGCGCGGAGGGGGAUCUUAGGGGAGGAGGGCAAACCUAGUCUCGCCGUGCCGGGGGAGAUGUGAAGGGCUUUGGGUUGUAAAGCCCUUUCAGCUGGGGAGAUAAUGACGGUACCAGCAGAAGAAGCCCCGGCUAACUACGUG